rnacentral:rRNA from 1 species
UACGGAAGGUCCGGGCGUUAUCCGGAUUUAUUGGGUUUAAAGGGAGCGUAGGCCGUGGAUUAAGCGUGUUGUGAAAUGCAGGUGCUCAACGUCUGCACUGCAGCGCGAACUGGUUCACUUGAGUGUGCGCAACGCAGGCGGAAUUCGUCGUGUAGCGGUGAAAUGCUUAGAUAUGACGAAGAACUCCGAUUGCGAAGGCAGCUUGCGGGAGCACAACUGACGCUGAAGCUCGAAAGUGCGGGUAUCGAACAGG